GUGCUUGCUUCGGCAGCACGUAUACUAAAAUUGGAACGAUACAGAGAAGAUUAGCAUGGCCCCUGCACAAGGAUGACACGCAAAUUCGUGAAAUGUUCCAUAUUUUU
ensembl:snRNA U6 U6 spliceosomal RNA